rnacentral:rRNA from 1 species
AGCGAACGCUGGCGGCAGGCCUAAAACAUGCAAGUCGAACGGACCCUUCGGGGUUAGUGGCGGACGGGUGAGUAACACGUGGGAACGUGCCCUUUGGUUCAGAACAACUCAGGGAAACUUGAGCUAAUACUGAAUAAGCCCUACGGGGAAGAUUAUCGCCAUUGGAGCAGCCCGCCGUUGGAUUAGCUAGUUGGUGAGGUAAAGGCUCACCAAGGCUACGAUCCAUAGCUGGUCUGAGAGGAUGAUCAGCCACACUGGGACUGAGACACGGCCCAGACUCCUACGGGAGGCAGCAGUUAGGAAUCUUGCGCAAUGGGCGAAAGCCUGACGCAGCCAUGCCGCGUGAAUGAUGAAGGUCUUAGGAUUGUAAAAUUCUUUCAGCGGGGAAGAUAAUGACUGUACCCGCAGAAGAAGCUCCGGCUAACUUCGUGCCAGCAGCCGCUGUAAU